rnacentral:rRNA from 1 species
GACGAACGCUGGCGGCGUGCUUAACACAUGCAAGUCGAACGGAGUGGCGAACGGGUGAGUAACACGUGGGUGAUCUGCCUUGCAAUUCGGGAUACGCUUGGGAAACUGGGUCUAAUACCGGAUAGUGCAAGAGGAGCUCGCGGCCUAUCAGCUUGUUGGUGGGGUAAUGGCCUACCAAGGCGUCGACGGGUAGCCGGCCUGAGAGGGGGUACGGCCACAUUGGGGCUGAGAUACGGGCCAGAGUCCUACGGGGGGCAGCAGUGGGGAGUAUUGCAGAAUGGGCGGAAGCCUGAUGCAGCGACGCGGCGUGGGGAAUGAAGGCCUUCGGGUUGUAAACUCCUUUCGCCAGGGACGCGGUACCUGUAUAAGAAGCACCGGCUAACUACGUGCCAGCAGCCGCGGUAAUUC